rnacentral:rRNA from 1 species
CCUACGGGGGGCAGCAGUGAGGAAUAUUGGUCAAUGGACGCAAGUCUGAACCAGCCAUGCCGCGUGCAGGAAGACGGCUCUAUGAGUUGUAAACUGCUUUUGUACGAGGGUAAACGCAGAUACGUGUAUCUGUCUGAAAGUAUCGUACGAAUAAGGAUCGGCUAACUCCGUGCCAGCAGCCGCGGUAAUACGGAGGAUUCAAGCGUUAUCCGGAUUUAUUGGGUUUAAAGGGUGCGUAGGCGGAAGGUUAAGUCAGUGGUAAAAUGGCGGUGCUCAACACCGGCGUGCCGUUGAGACUGGUCUGCUUGAGUAAGCGAGAAGUAUGCGAAAUGCGUGGUGUAGCGGUGAAAUGCAUAGAUAUCACGCAGAACUCCGAUUGCGAAGUCAGCAUACCGGCGCUCAACUGACGCUGAGGCACGAAAGCGUGGGGAUCGAACAGGAUUAGAUACCCCUGUAGUC